AUGAAAACCUACCAUUUGCUUCAACAUGGAUGGAACUGGAUGGUAUUAUGCUGAAUGAAAUGAGGAACUUGAGCCUCUGAGAAGUGAAGCAGUUUGGAGAAGGUCACCAAUAUUAAGUGAUAAAGGUGGGAUUUAAGCCUGCCUUUGUCAAACUCCUGAACCUAGAUACUUCAGCCAUCCACAGCCAACCAACUGGAGAGGAAAUGUAUCACAGUCUUCAACAUUCCCCAGCUGGACGUAAGCCCCACGAACCAGAGACCAUCUUCCGUUUAUCUGCUGUGCCCAACAUAUAACCGGCUCCCAGCUCUGAAAAUUCAGAUUGUGGACCUGUGAUGCCUAUUUCAGAUGAUUUGGAGGACUCUACAAGAUGGCCCACAGCAAGUGGCUGGCAUAGUUUCAGGUAGUCACAUGCUACAAACUUAUUCAAGGAUCUCAGGGAAACACUAUUUGAGUUCCUUAGUCUCUGAAAUCUGAAACAUAGACAAUUUUGCCAAGGAAGCUCAAGAGCAGAGCCAUGGAUAGAAUCCCCCAGAUGCCUGAGGAUGUCAUUUCCUAAUGGCACUGGUGCCAAAUGCCUCCGGUACUGAAUUAAGUCAGGAUCAUCAAUACAUGAGAAAUGGAUCUCCAAGAGUAUUUCUUUCCUAAAAAAAAAAGGACUGUUUUCCUGGGCAGUCCACUCCACUGGAAUUCUUUCUGCUUCACUGAAGGGCUCAUCGGCAACUACUCUUUCCUUGGAUUUCAAAAAAAUUGACUUUUUAAAGAUGAAGUACAGAAGAAUGAUAUUCCCUUCGAUAAUGGAUUGUUUUUCUUGCUUCAUUCCUCCAGCUCUACUACUUCGGAUGACAAGAGAAGACCAACCACAUCCAUUUAGUUCCACAGAUGGACAAAAACCUCAGAGGACUGGCUCUCCUCUAUAAGCAAGGAACAAACAUGCAGGAAUAUUGUAAAGACAGACGUCAAGACUUGGCCAUUGCUUCCAAUUAAGAAGCUAUUUCCAAACUCACCAACCAAACUCUUACGUGGUGGGAAUUCAGCAAAUGGAUGGAAAGAUGGGUGAUUAAUUGAGCUAAUGCUUAUAGUGGCUCUUGACUCAGUUUUUCUUUGCUUACAGGGGAAAAAGUGGAAAGAGUUUCUGGUCCGGCCAGGCAUAAUUUGGGCAGUUUUGUAAAUUUGGGGUCAGUACUAAGGAAGAAUCUCGGCACUUGCUCUCUGGACCUCCAAAGACAGAAAGAAAUUGAACUCUUUGGAGCUGAUCAUAUCACUGUGCUGAAAACACAUGAAUGUGCCCUGACUCAUACCCAUGAGUUCAGUGUCCUCUGAGUUAUUUUAAUUCUUUAUUUUGUAUCCAUAGCAUUAUUUCUCCAACCCUGAAUAACUGGGCUUUCUUGAUUACAUUCAGCGUAUGUCUUCUCCGGAGGUUUUAUUGCCAUAUUAUUGUUCUCACUGGCCUGUUUAUGCCAGAGAAUGAAAACACUUCAUUCUGAAAAGGACGGUGUGUUUUUUUGCGUGAGGGAAAGAAAGAGUCAUAAUUGGUUCUGAUUGUUAAACAUGAAGAAUAGGCCCUGUCAUUUCUAUUUAAACUCAGUGAAAUGAGAAAACGAAGUUCCAGCUCUGAAUGAAUAAUCCAUAUUGCCUAAGUAGAGUAAUUAUAAAGGGAUAAGUGGAGAGCAAUGGAAGUGAAGCUAGA